rnacentral:lncRNA from 1 species
CUAAGGAGUGAUGUUGGAAGAGACUUACUAAGUGGUGAUCUGGAAGGAAUUAGUUCAGUGUACUGUAUGCGUUAGUAAGGUGUAAAUUGAUUAGUCGGGAUAUGGAAUUCAAUCAUUUCUUGGAUUCAUGGCCUCAGAUGGGGACCUCCAGGAGAGUAGUAUUUCUAUGUACAAUGAUGCUCUAGACUAUUGGAAGGAUUUGUGAAGUUUUACUUCCAA